rnacentral:rRNA from 1 species
GUGGGGAAUAUUGGACAAUGGGGGGAACCCUGAUCCAGCCAUGCCGCGUGUGUGAAGAAGGCCUUUUGGUUGUAAAGCACUUUAAGUGGGGAGGAGGCUUACCUGGUUAAUACCUGGGCUAAGUGGACGUUACCCACAGAAUAAGCACCGGCUAACUCUGUGCCAGCAGCCGCGGUAAUACAGAGGGUGCGAGCGUUAAUCGGAUUUACUGGGCGUAAAGCGCGCGUAGGUGGUUAAUUAAGUCAAAUGUGAAAUCCCCGAGCUUAACUUGGGAAUUGCAUUCGAUACUGGUUAGCUAGAGUAUGGGAGAGGAUGGUAGAAUUCCAGGUGUAGCGGUGAAAUGCGUAGAGAUCUGGAGGAAUACCGAUGGCGAAGGCAGCCAUCUGGCCUAAUACUGACACUGAGGUGCGAAAGCAUGGGGAGCAAACAGGAUUAGAAACCCCUGUAGUCC